GACAAACGCUGGCGGCGUGCAUAAAACAUGCAAGUCGAACGGACUUCAGUCCGCAAGGACUGAAGUGAGUGGCGAACGGCUGAGUAACACGUAGGUGACCUGCCCCGAAGUUUGGGAUAACAACUCGAAAGAGUUGCUAAUACCGGAUGUGACCACCGAUUCAUUUCGGUGCUUAAAGUCGCAAGACGCUUUGGGAGGGGCCUGCGGCGGAUUAGCUAGUUGGUGUGGUAACGGCAUACCAAGGCUUCGAUCCGUAGCUGGUCUGAGAGGAUGGCCAGCCAGACUGGGACUGAGACACGGCCCAGACUCCUACGGGAGGCAGCAGUUAGGAAUUUUGCGCAAUGGAGGAAACUCUGACGCAGCCACGCCGCGUGA
rnacentral:rRNA from 1 species